rnacentral:rRNA from 1 species
GUGCCAGCAGCCGCGGUAAUUCCAGCUCCAAUAGCGUAUAUUAAAGUUGUUGUGGUUAAAAAGCUCGUAGUUGAACCUUGGGCCUGGCUGGCCGGUCCGCCUCACCGCGUGCACUGGUCCGGCCGGGCCUUUCCCUCUGUGGAACCCCAUACCCUUCACUGGGCGUGGCGGGGAAACAGGACAUUUACUUUGAAAAAAUUAGAGUGCUCCAGGCAGGCCUAUGCUCGAAUACAUUAGCAUGGAAUAAUAAAAUAGGACGCGCGGUUCUAUUUUGUUGGUUUAUAGGACCGCCGUAAUGAUUAAUAGGGACAGUCGGGGGCAUCAGUAUUCAACUGUCAGAGGUGAAAUUCUUGGAUCAGUUGAAGACUAACUACUGCGAAAGCAUUUGCCAAGGAUGUUUUCAUUAAUCAGGAACGAAAGUUAGGGGAUCGAAGACGAUCAGAUACCGUCGUAGUCUUAACCAUAAACUAUGCCGACUAGGAAUCGGACGGUGUUAUUCAUGACCCGUUCGGCACCUUACGAGAAAUCAAAGUGCUUGGGCUCCAGGGGGAGUAUGGUCGCAAGGCUGAAACUUAAAGAAAUUGACGGAAGGGCACCACCAGGGGUGGAGCCUGCGGCUUAAUUUGACUCAGCACGGGGAAACUCACCAGGUCCAGACACAAUAAGGAUUGACAGAUUGAGAGCUCUUUCUUGAUUUUGUGGGUGGUGGUGCAUGACCGUUCUUA